UACGUAGGGUCCGAGCGUUGUCCGGAAUUACUGGGCGUAAAGAGCUCGUAGGUGGUUUGUCGCGUUGUUCGUGAAAACUCACAGCUUAACUGUGGGCGUGCGGGCGAUACGGGCAGACUGGAGUACUGCAGGGGAGACUGGAAUUCCUGGUGUAGCGGUGGAAUGCGCAGAUAUCAGGAGGAACACCGGUGGCGAAGGCGGGUCUCUGGGCAGUAACUGACGCUGAGGAACGAAAGCUAGGGGAGCAAACAGG
rnacentral:rRNA from 1 species